rnacentral:rRNA from 1 species
CUGAGAAUAAUACCGGAUAGAUCACAACGCCUGGAACGGUGUGUGGUUGAAAGGUUACGGCAUAGGAUGGGUCUGCGGCGUAUCAGGUCGUAGGGGGUGUAAUGGACCUCCUAGCCAUCGACGCGUACGGGUUGUGAGAGCAAUAGCCCGGAGAUGGAUUCUGAGACACGAAUCCAGACCCCACGGGGUGCAGCAGGCGCGAAAACUUCACACUGCAGGAAACUGCGAUGAGGGAACUCCAAGUGACUACACAUUUGUGUAGCUCUUUUCUUGACUAUUAAUCGGUUUUGGAAUAAGGGCUGGGAAAGACCGGUGCAGCCGCCGCGGUAAUACCGGCAGCUCGAGUGGUCGUCGCUUUUAUUGGGCCUAAAACGUCCGUAGCCUGUUUGGUAAAUCUGUGGGUAAAUCAACCAGCUUAACUGGUUGAAUUCUGCAGAGACUGCCAGACUAGGGACCGGGAGAGGUGUGGGGUACUCUAGGGGUAGGGGUAAAAUCCUGUCAUCCUCAGAGGACCACCAGUUGCGAAGGCGCCACACUAGAACGGAUCCGACGGUCAGGGGCGAAGCCUAGGGGCACGAACCGGAUUAGAUACCCGGGUAGUCCUAGGUGUAAACGCUGUGAACUUGGUGUCGGGAGUCCGCAAUGGGCCCCCGGUGCCGGAGUGAAGAUGUUAGGUUCACUGCCUGGGGAGUACGGUCGCAAGGCUGAAACUUA